UGUGAAAGCUCUUUGCAAGAAAGUGCAGUAUAAAGAAGCUGUAAGUAAUGACACAAUUUUAAAAGAUGGAGUGGUUUUACUGAGGAAAUGUUUUUCUUAGGUGUGUGAAAACCAAAAUUAUUAAGAAUAUAUAUUUACACAUUUGGGUUUAGAGGAGACAGGCCCCAGCUUCAGCCCAUUUUGAUAAACAUGCCCCGUGGCUGGCAGAGAUCUGGGCGUGGGAGGAUGCUACAGCCGUGGGUAUAACCUCUGGCCUCGCCGCCAUCUUGGCCAUAGCCCCAAAGGCACUUUUGCCCACUGAGAAUUACCUGAGAAAGGUGCCACCACUUUAAGAGGCACAUCUCUUAAUAUCAUAAAUCCUAAAGCGUUACGAAAACAGCGCCCCUGUCUCGGUGUUGAUUUGUGUAGGACCCCUCCUUUUAGUUCAGAGGAGGAGCAGGAGGACGACGACCUCAUCCGGGCAUACGCAUCCCCAGGCCCACUUCCUGUGCCGCCAUCGCAAAACAAGGGCAGCUUCGGGAAGAACACAGUGAAAAGUGACGCGGACGGGACCGAGGGAAGCGAAAUCGAGGACACUGAUGAUUCUCCCAAGCCCGCAGGAGUCGCCGUUAAAACACCUACUGAAAAAGUUGAAAAGAUGUUUCCACAUCACAAAAAUGUGAAUAAACCGGUCGGUGGAACUAAUGUUCCUGAGAUGUUUAUCAAAAAAGAAGAAUUACAAGAACUAAAGUGUGCGGAUGUGGAGGAUGAAGACUGGGACAUAUCAUCCCUAGAGGAAGAGAUAUCUUUGGGAAAAAAAUCUGGGAAAGAACAGAAGGAACCUCCACCUGCGAAAAAUGAACCACAUUUUGCUCAUGUGCUAAAUGCCUGGGGCGCAUUUAAUCCUAAGGGGCCAAAGGGAGAAGGACUUCAAGAAAAUGAAUCAAGCACAUUAAAAAGCAGCUUAGUAACUGUGACUGAUUGGAGCGACACUUCAGAUGUCUAAUUCCACAUGUCAGAAGAUUCUUCCAGAAGCCAGCAGUAUUUCAGUAUCACAGUGUUUCAGUAAUUUGCCUCCAUGAUUCCAGUGCUUCUGCCUUACCGUGUUUCCCACAGCAACACAGAGACUGAUUCAAAGAACAAUGGUCUCUUUAAUGGCACCCAAUACAGUAUUGAAAAUCAGAUCAUCAACAGUAUUUCGAAGCAUGUAAAGGUGUUUAAGACUUCCGCUGCUGCUUAAAAAUAACAUGUCAUUGAAGUCAUAAAAAGU
rnacentral:sRNA from 1 species